GCAUUCGUGGUGUAGUGGUGAGCACGCUCUGCACGUAUUCAAGAGGUCCGUGGUUCGAAUCCCGGUGAGGGCA
rnacentral:tRNA from 1 species